rnacentral:rRNA from 1 species
UAGCUUUAAGAUUUUUCAUUUAAAGUUUUACCUGCCCGGUGGAAUUUCUUAACGGCCGCAGUACUUUGACUGUGCUAAGGUAGCAUAAUAAAUUGGCUUUUAAUUAAAGUCGGGUAUGAAAGGGAAUUUGGAAAAUAACUGUCUCAAGUAUAUUUUAUUUUAAUUUAAUUAAUGAGUGAAAAUUCUCAUAUUUUAUUUCAUUAGACGAGAAGACCCUAAGAGUUAUAAUUAAAAUGAAUUUAUUUCAUAUAUCAUUUUUGUUGGGGCAACAAAGACUGGAUAGAACCGUUAAAAACUAAUUUUACAUAACCAAUAAUAUUUAAAAAGAAAUAAACUACCUUAGGGAUAACAGCAUAAUUAAUUUUUAGAUUGUGACCUCGAUGUUGGAUUAAGGACUUAGUUUACUAGCCGUAAACUAAGAUAGUUCUGUUCGAACUGUAGUACCUU